AGAGAAUAGAGCAGUUAGACUCUAUCGCCGAAGGUGCAAGUAAUUAUUACGAAACUCUCAGGCAAAAGGAUAAUA
rnacentral:misc_RNA from 1 species